GCUAAGCUGACAUUCUUUAUUACAAUUCCCUAUUAAGAACCAGGGAGGGCAGUGCUACACCUCACUGGUGACAUGCAGGGAAACAAAGGGUGGACAGGAUGAGACAGGAUGGACAGGGACAGGGACUAGCAAGCGGUGCUAUUGCAUCUGAAGAAUAACAGGUGCUGUGUUAUUCCCAACUAUUAAUUACCCAUCAGUAAGACAAACAAACACACGCACAAAAAAACCCAGAAAAAACAAACAAAAAAGAUAAAAAAAUGAAUAAAUAACCAAACGGUACUGAACACCAUAGUUGUGGGUGUCAUGUCAGUAUAGAGUGGAAUAGGCCUGAAGAAGAUACUAGAGAAAAGGAGAGUGGGUUUAGUGUGAGUUUAGACUCUGGAGAGAGUCUCAGCACAUUCUGGUGGGUCCCAUCACCUCUCAACAGUGGAACUCGACAGGAGCUGGUGGGACAUGAACAGACAUACACAUGCAAGUGUGAAGGACCCCGAAGCCCAGAACAGCUAUCAAGGCAAGGCAGAGCCAGGUGUAACCCACAUAAAAAAACACGCUUCCUCAAACGAAAGUAAUUAAUAUAAAAUAUUUCCUAUUUUUAUUACGAUACGUAAAUGCACCGUCACGUACGCUCUCAGGUUGUGUAGCGUUUCGACCAAUCGGGUCACUUGCGGGUCUGAUUAAUACAGCUGUGCUCCUCUCCACACACACACUGGUGAGGAGACGAGCCACAGGAUCGCUGCUAACACGAGAUCAGCUACCGCUGCUUCGGAGAACAGGGUUUUUGGCUGAGACUGAUAAUCGAAGGGAAUUGGCCAGGUGUGCCCUGUUGGGUGCAUACAUCUAUCACAGGAGGUGAGCUAGAGCCCACGAGCCUGAACCUCACUCAACAACAUCCCGCUGCGGUCUGGUAGGCGGUUGUUAGCAGCCAGUCUUCUCCCACCUAAUUUUUGCCACCUUUUCAGGGUCAUAUUUGUACUCUGGUUUUGCGCGCUCAUGGACAUACAGCAAUAACUCAGGAACUCUCUGGUUGAAACCUAUGGACAAUUAACCCACACUGCAUUGUGGGAGAAAACUAUCAAUCUUGUAUACCUUGAAUUGUGGUAGGGACAUUUUUAUACUGUGCUGUUAACCUGUUGGAUUGUGACUGUGUUCUUGGUGAAACUUAAAGGAAAAAAAUAGUUGAAGUGCACUUGUUCAUAGAGUGUUGCUAUCUGAAACAUUGUUAUCUGCAGAUUGUAAAUAUUGUAAAUAUAUUUUUCCUAAUCUGUUUUUUCACAAGCAAAAUAAUAAGGCACUUAAACCAAAA